GUGAGGAAUCUUCCACAAUGGGCGAAAGCCUGAUGGAGCAACGCCGCGUGAAGGAUGAAGGUCUUCGGAUUGUAAACUUCUUUUAUGAGUGAAGAAUAUGACGGUAACUCAUGAAUAAGCACCGGCUAACUACGUGCCAGCAGCCGCGGUCAUACGUAGGGUGCAAGCAUUAUCCGGAGUGACUGGGCGUAAAGAGUUGCGUAGGCGGUUAUGUAAGCGAAUAGUGAAACCUGGUGGCUCAACCACACAGACUAUUAUUCGAACUGCAUAACUAGAGAAUGGUAGAGGUAACUGGAAUUUCUGGUGUAGGAGUGAAAUCCGUAGAUAUAAGAAGGAACACCAAUGGCGUAGGCAGGUUACUGGGCCAUUUCUGACGCUAAGGCACGAAAGCGUGGGGAGCGAACCGGAUUAGAUACCCUUGUAGUCC
rnacentral:rRNA from 1 species